UUUAAUAGCAAUAAAAUAUACCUUUAGCAAUAAUAUAUUCAUUUAGUUAUUAUGGCAACUAAACAGGCUCUGUUGUUUUAAUUGAGUAUGAGAUACAUUGAUAAACCUCUGUUGCAUCUAAAAUCAUAUUUACUCGGAUGGUUUAAAAAAAAAGAUCUGAUUUGUAAUAGGUGUGUUUUAAAUUUCUCUUCCAUUUUCUCAAUAGUAUCUGGAAAUGCAAUAUCCAUUGUAAAGAGAGUUGGGGAUGAUGUCAUUCUGCCUUGUCCGUGUGUGACUGAUGACCUGAAUAAAUGUGACAAGACUACAUGGACCUUUUCUUCAAAAGAUCAACCAGCAGUAGAUCUGAUCACACUUGGGAAGAUUGGUGACGAAGCCAAAACUAAAUCAGACAGAUUGAGUGUUACAGCGAACUGUUCUCUGCUUAUAGAGAAGCUCACAGUUGAGGAUAUUGGUCGUUACCGCUACAAACAUUGCACAUCAGCAGUAAAACUAACUCAAGAUUUUGAUCUUUCAGUUGUCUCCAGUGUCCUAUUAUAAGGAUAAAGAUGAAGUUGCAAUUCACUAUGAAACCACUGGGGACUCUGCUGUUUCUGUCUGACUUCACUGAGCAACACCAUGGAAAAUAUCAUCACACAGCUAUACCAUCCAGAACUGUUAUACCCUCUACAAAAUGUCUUAGUGAAACAACCUGAUCAGCUAUCUUUUUCUGUCUUGUGAUACAAAAUACAGCCUCUUUACUGCACAAGGGUGAAAUCAUGGACCAUUGUCAGUUAUUGAAUUUUACACAAAAAAUGAACUGUGAAUAAUGCUAUUAUGUAAGCUGGAAAUAAAAUGUACAAAUAUUCAGUUGUAGUGUUUUUUUCCCCCUUUUUAGUCCCCCCCCCCCCCCCCCCCCCCUUUUCCCCCUUUUCUUUUAAAGGCAAAGGUGAAGAACAAAUGUAAUAUAUAUAUAUAUAUAUAUAUAUAUAUAUAUAUAUAUUAUAUAUAUAUAUAUAUAUAAAGAGAGAGCAUUUAUUAUAUUAUAUAAAAUUAUAUUAUAAUUUUAUAUAAUAUAUAAAAUUAUAAUAGGUGACCUCAGCCACUAGGUGACCUCAGUGUGUAAGGAUGUACCCAGUCUCUUGUUUAACACAAAAGCAUAACAUUGGCCAUGUACAGAACAAAGUAAAACAUUUUUUCUUGUUUUUUUUUUUCUUUUAUAAAUUUAUAGUUUGGUUUACGGCUUCAACAUCCCAAAGUCAGUCACUGGGUUAACUGGUCAUAUCAAGGUGGUUAUCAACUCAAUGAAUGAACCACGGGUUUCCCAGUGCUGAUAUGAAAUAGGCAGCCCUGGCAGCAUAUGACCAGUCGCAAACUGCACAGGGAGUGAUGCUGCAUUUUUAAUGAAGAUGAUUACACUAGUAAUUUGCAAGUAGUAUUACAAAUAUAAUGUUCGAAAAAAAAAUCAGACGCUAAACACAUGAGAGACGCUAAAAAAAUCACAGCUGCAGCCAAAGCAGAAGUGUGUGAGUGUAAGUAACAGAAUAGUAAUAGUUUGUAGGACGGUUUUCCUCUUAUUCUGUCACAGCGGGACGGAACGGACUCACGCGCAGGCCCCAAGUCUCGAAAACACAAGAGUCUUUUUCACAGUUCACCAGGUGAUCUAUUUACAAAAGUGAGGGGAAGGCCAGACUCCGGGGGUCCACACACGAAAGGGAAAGACGUUGAAAGUCCACGCACACACUCCGUCCACUCCACACGCUCCUCUUCACACUCCACAGAAAGCACACUCGAUCACUUCAGAAAACACAGGGGUGGGUCCAGGGGAUCUGUACACAGAGACACAAAGGGAUUACAAUGGAAGGUCACUGAGAAACACUCUAGAGUUAACUGAGCUGGAGUUACACUGACGAGGGUCGGCAACGGUCCAGUGAUGAGAGACACAGAGCUGCCAUCCUAUAAAGGAGCUGGAACACUCGUGAUGAGCCACAGGUGUGUGGGUCAGGGGCAGGAGCCCACAGGUGAGCUCCGCCCAGGCCGAGGGAGGAGGGAAAGAGAGGAAGGGAGAGAGCAGGAACAAAAAUGAAAACAAAAACAUGUAGCCAUGCUGAGCCGACCGGGUAGGCACAGGGACCCUGACAUAUUCUUUCAGCUGCAUCCAUUAUAAUUUUAGAUGCUCUGAAAGCAAGAAAAGAAUGUCCGCGGCGCGGACAUUGGCAAAAAAAUAAUAAUAAUUUUUUUUGCUCGUAUUCAUGCUUCCCCGACGGCAGCCAGCGCAUAUUGGGAAUGUCAUAGGCAUCAAUCGGUUUUCUAUCGCCCAUUUGCUGGGAGUAAGGGCGCCCUCGUUUGUGAUGUGCGCCUGCUGCUUGCAGCACAGAGAGGAGAGGCCGGGGCGGCGGGGGAUUCUCUGGCUUUCUGGAGCAGCAUCUAAUAACCAACUCGCAAAAUAAAAGAAAAUAAAAACAAAACAACAAACACGAAAACACCAGACAUCAUGAUACAGACUUAUAAUUUGCACCGAUGUUUUUUCGAAAUUCUAUACGCGAAAAGUGAGCGCGAGAGCCCUCGGUGCGCCUGCUUGCUGCUGAAGUCAAAGUAAACUUUAUUGCUAUAUACAGUCCAGUAUAUAGAGAGACGACGAGGCUCCAGUUACAGCAGUGCAAGUAAACAAACAAUAAAUAUAAGAAGAGUAAGAAAAUAAAUAUACACUUUAGGACUAGGGGUAAAGGGAUCAAUGACAAUUUAAAAUUUAUAAUAUACAGUUUGAUGAUUUAAAGUCUCACACACAACGCGUCGAAAGGGGAGGGGGGCCUGCUUCUUCCAAAUAGAGCACAUUGCAUUCAUAAUAAUGUAAAUCCAAGCCCAUUAUGUAUUCAUGAUUUGAAUCCUGGGUUGUGCAAAAUCCCAGAAAUAAACCCUAGACAAAGUGAAUCUGUGAACUAAGGUGUAGGUCUGUUAGGUUAUGUUGUGGUGAUCCUCGGGUUGGGGGAUUUGUGUUCAUACUGGAGUGCAAAAUUAAAACCAAUGGAAGAUGGACAAGAAAAGUUCAAAGCCAUCAGGUGCUCAGUUUAGAAAAAAGAGAAAAGAAGAGGAGGAGAAAUGAGCAAAAGAUACAGGUAAGCAGAUGUGUCAUUGAUGGCAGGUCAUCCUGAAACAAUCAGAAUCAGAAUACUUUAUUAAUCCCUAAGGAAAUUAUGUGGGUUACAUUUGGCCCAAGAAGAAAUUCUAAAAAUAGUAACAGUAACAGACUAAACUCCAAACAACACAAUAUGUUACAGAUUUUACACAUUUAAGAAAUAGCACUAAUAUAUACAGAUCACUCAGUUCUAAAUAUCAAGGAUUAACAGAGGUGAUUAUAAAUAAAUAUCAAGAAAAUUGACAAGUAUAUUACAGAAUAGAAAAGAGUGUGUGUAAAAAGGAUGUAACCAUUGCAGUGUCCUGUGUCGGUCAGUGGUGCUUUUUGGUAAUCUCAGUUUCUCACUGAACGCUCCUGUGACUAGCCAGCAUGUCAUGGAGUGGGUGGGAGGUAUUAUCCAACAUUGUCCUUAUCUUGGACAACAUCUGCCUCUCACACACCACCAGUGGCUGUUUGGUAGCAGUUUGCACACUAUGCAUACUCUCUCUCUCCCUCUCUCCAUAUGUGUGUGUGUGUGUGUGUGGUGGGGGGGGGGGGGGGGUGGGGUGGGGGGGGGGGGCACAGGGAGUGUUCACCCAGGGCACAAAACAGGCUAGGACCGCCACUGCAUAUUUGUAUUUGUUGACCUUGUAUGAAAUUUCCAUAUAGAAAAGGUCAGUAUCUGAAUUGUUGUUAUCAGAUU
ensembl:lncRNA